AUGUGAAGUUUCUACAGUUGGCACCAUAGAAAACUGUGAUGUGAUGUCUGAAAUUAUCCACAAGUGGGCGCUCUUCAACCAAAAAUCUUUAAAGGGCACAUAAGAGGAGGAGAUACAAGGUAAUUACUUCAGGCAUGCAGAGGUUUCAGAGAUAGUUCAACAUAGUGGCUCAUUUGUUCCUCGUCAGAAAUGAUAUCCCUUUUUUGUCUAUGGCUUAUCUCAAUCUUAACAGGGCAUGCUUCUAGUGAGGGAAUAGCACCAGUCUCUCCUAAUGAAUUUGUCUCAGAAGGUAAAACAAUCACCCUGUCCUGCAAUUACACUGGGUCAGCUGCUACAGAUGCCCUCCAUUGGUAUCGUCAAUACCCGAGAUCCAGGCCAGACUUCCUGUUUCUGGUUAAUGAAGCUAAAUUUAAGCAAUCAGCUGACCCUCCAAUUCCAGGAAUAUCUGCUAGAUUAAAUGAGGAGAAGAAUCGUGUGGAUCUGGAGAUCACUGGCACUGCAUUAACAGAUUCUGCUCUGUAUUACUGCGCCCUGCAGCCCACAGUGACAGGAAAUAUACAUGCACUGUACAAAAAUGAGACACAUUGAAAAUAGAGGCUGGAAUCUGUGUUCAUUGUCUCUGCUCAAUGGCCAGGAACUAUUGGAUGAUUAUCCAUGUUUGCAUUCAAGCAUUUUGAUUUGGCAACUUUAAAGGUAGGGUCUGCGAUUUUCGGAGUGGCUAGCAAUAGCAAGCUAGCUUUAAAAGCAUGAGAUGCAACCCAAACUUCAGAGCAUCUCCAAAGCCACGUCUGCAAAAGACAUGAACGCACAGCAGAUUCUGCAAAGCGUCACAAGAGACGGCAUUAAAUUACCUCAUGUCUCAAAGCACAUACCAUUACAAUAACAAUGAACGUAAACAACUUACAGAGCUCUUACUUGUACCACCUGACUGCUGCAGAUUAUUUUCAGCAUUGAUAGUGUUGACAUAGAGACAUAAAUUCGAGUAUGAGUUCCGGGUAGA